GAACGAACGCUGGCGGCAUGCCUAACACAUGCAAGUCGAACGAACCCUUCGGGGUGAGUGGCGCACGGGUGCGUAACGCGUGGGAACCUGCCCUUAGGUUCGGAAUAACAGUUAGAAAUGACUGCUAAUACCGGAUAAUGUCUUCGGAGCAAAGAUUUAUCGCCAAAGGAUGGGCCCGCGUAGGAUUAGCUAGUUGGUGGGGUAAAGGCUCACCAAGGCGACGAUCCUUAGCUGGUCUUAGAGGAUGAUCAGCCACACUGGGACUGAGACACGGCCCAGACUCCUACGGGAGGCAGCAGUGGGGAAUAUUGGACAAUGGGCGAAAGCCUGAUCCAGCAAUGCCGCGUGAGUGAUGAAGGCCUUCGGGUCGUAAAGCUCUUUUACCAGGGAUGAUAAUGACAGUACCUGGAGAAUAAGCUCCGGCUAACUCCGUG
rnacentral:rRNA from 1 species